GACGAACGCUGGCGGCGUGCCUAAUACAUGCAAGUCGAGCGAAGAGCCGGGUGGGUGAGUAACGCGUGGGUAACCUGCACUUAAGUCUGGGAUACCAUUUGGAUACAGAUGCUAAUAACGGAUAGUAAAGGAUGGACAAGCGAUGCAUUAGCUAGCUGGUAAGGUAACGGCUUAGCAAGGCGAUGAUGCAGAGCCGAGUUGAGAGACUGAUCAGCCACAUUGGGACUGAGACACGGCCCACACUCCUACGGGAGGCAGCAGUAGGGAAUCUUCCACAAUGGACGAAAGUCUGAUGGAGCAACGCCGCGUGAGUGAAGAAGGUUUUCGGAUCGUAAAGCUCUGUUGUUGGGGAAGCGGUAAUCAACCAGAAAGUCACGGCUAACUACGUGCCAGCAGCCGCGGUAAUUC
rnacentral:rRNA from 1 species